AAAAUAAGUAAAAAAACAGAGCCUGUCCGACAUCAGACAGACCCUAUAGUACACACAGCAGUGCGUCCAUUCGCAAGUCCCGCAUGUUUUAUUCCUUCGGCAGGUCUGAUCAGUUAUAACAGUUU
rnacentral:misc_RNA from 1 species